GUUAACGCUGGCGGCGUGCCUAACACAUGCAAGUCGAACGGUUCUAAGCGCGAGCUUAGGAUAGUGGCGAACGGGUGAGUAAAAGGUAGGAAUCUACCCCUUGGACGGAGAUAGCUACUGGAAACGGUAGGUAAACUUCGAUAAGCCCGAGAGGGGAAAGUGGUGAGACAGCCGAGGGAUGAGCCUACUCUCCAUCAGGUAGUUGGUGAGAUAAAAGCUUACCAAGCCGAUGACGGAUAACCGGUGUGAGAGCAUGAACGGUCACAAGGGCACUGAGAGACGGGCCCUACUCCUACGGGAGGCAGCAGUGGGGAAUCUUGGACAAUGGGCGAAAGCCUGAUCCAGCGACGCCGCGUGGAGGAAGAAGUCCUUCGGGAUGUAAACUUCUGAACUAGCCGAAUAAAAGGCCUGUGGACACACAGGAGAAGAAAGUAGGCCAGGAAAAGUCCCGGCUAACUACGUG
rnacentral:rRNA from 1 species